rnacentral:misc_RNA from 1 species
GUUUUAUUUAUAGUUUUGACAUUCGAGACUUGUUGUAAAAUGUAAAGCGGAGGCGACGCCGGAACGCCGCGACCGAAAAGGUGCACAGGUGUGAGAGGUUUCGACAGCGUGCAGCCGAAGCGCACAGCUGAAGAGGAGGGCCGAGGCCCGAAUCUUUAAUGAUCCUUCCGCAGGUUCACCUACGGAAA